rnacentral:rRNA from 1 species
ACUCAAAUGAAUUGACGGGGGCCCGCACAAGCGGCGGAGCGUGCGGUUUAAUUCGACGCAACGCGCAGAACCUUACCCGGGCUUGACAUGGACCUGCAGAGCCGGGAAACCGGUUGGCCUUCGAGGGUGGUCCACAGGUGCUGCAUGGCUGUCGUCAGCUCGUGUCGUGAGAUGUUGGGUUAAGUCCCGCAACGAGCGCAACCCCCGCGGCCAGUUGCCUGAUGUUUCUGGCCGGACUGCCGGUAGCAAGCCGGAGGAAGGUGGGGAUGAUGUCAAGUCAGCAUGGCCCUUACGUCCGGGGCGACACGCACGCUACAAUGGGCCAGACAGUGGGCAGCCAAGGCGCAAGCUGGAGCGAAUCCCCCAAACUGGCUCUCAGUUCGGAUUGCGGGCUGCAACUCGCCCGCAUGAAGGUGGAGUCGCUAGUAACCGCGGGUCAGCACUACCGCGGUGAAUACGUUCCCGGGCCUUGUACACACCGCCCGU